AGUAGUGCUGCACCAUGCAGUCAAAUGCCGAAGGUGGCUUAUGCUAGUAUAUACCUGUCUAUACGUUUCAAUCAGAAAAUCGAUAUUAUGUGUUCAUGUGAAAGUUCACAUUUCCUUAGGAGCUGUAUUUUGAUAGAUUUAAGCUUCUAAUGGAGCAUUUUAAACGUAUAGAGUAUACUAUGAAGUAGAGUGCGGAUCAUUUUAUAUUCAUAGAAAAUUUGAAUGUAUGGAAAUGUACAAAAUGCUCAUGAUAUGCAAAAAUAUGCAAAAUAUUCAAAGUAAACCAAUCAUCAAAAAGUUUAAAAGAUCAGACUCUCUAUUUUUCUUUUUGCAUCCUGCAAAUUACCGUAUAGAGAUGUAAAACGAAAGCUAUUGCUCGUUAAAAUUUGACGUACUUUUGUUUUCAUGAAAAUAUACAUAUGUUGAAUUAAAUAAACUAAACUAUUGAUAAUCACAUUGAAAGUAUAUAUAUUUAUAUAUAACUUAGAUUUCACAGAUUAUUUCGAUAUUGAAGUACUUCUUAUGUAUUAACGAAGAAGAUAAAACAUACUAAUACAAGCAUAAUUCAAUUGAGCGAUUAUGAUAAUGUUAAUGCGCAUCUCCGAACGUGCUGAGGAUAAAUGAGCAGUUUUCAGAAUUCUACCUUUUAGCGUUCUACACACGAUCGGAGCGUAAAUGUGCCCGUAGUCUGCCUGUUCCUAUAAGCUACUUUAAACGAUCAUCUUUGAUUGUGUUGGCUCGUAGAUCAUAGAGGAAGCCAUUUACCUAUCUUUCGGAACAAGAACUACAGUUAAAAACAGCGACCAAUUGAGAACAGUAGUUAAGUCCGCGAGUAGAGGGGUGAGCGUGUUUUAGCGGCGACAACAGCACACGGUAUGCAGAUACGAAGCCGGGGUAAACCGGGAAGCCGUAGUUCACGGACCGUAGUAAGCGUGGUAACUCUGAACAGUCAACAACAUUUGAAAGCCGGCCGCGCUUUGGAAUUCAGAUUAUUAUACGGUUAGAAAUGACAUAUUUUUGGAGAUAUCGAGGAAUGGUACUUUUAAGUAAUUUUGAUUUUCAUCACUCAUAAAUUGAACCGAGGAAAUUCCAUCAAUUUAUUUACCGGCUGUUAAAAAGUUUUAAUGAAAUGGGACAAAUGAUAGACGAAUAUGCGGCUGCUUCUGUUCCAAAUAUCUCCGUUACUGUGCCUGUUGACGGAAAUCGGCGCGGCUGGGAUCGGUAAAGCAUGGCAGAUCCUGCCAUACGCGACCGAUUCCUGGAAUCACCCAUCAUGGCCACGGCUCGACUCUUCCGCGUUCGAAGUUCGCAGCGUGAGCGGGAAUAAACGCUGAAUUCUGAUUGUAGGGUGGUACAGGCAAAAGUACCGAUACGCGACGGUUCAGACAAUGUACAGUUUACUCCUUUAUUUGUGCCUAUCCAGUCAAUCUCGUCGAUAAAAAUAAUUGUAGGCGAAUAAUUAUAGGCAAGUUCAAAUAAAACCUGUUCAGUUUAACAAA